UGGGCCUGCAGCCUUCCUGUGGAGGACUACAGGCGGAGCCUGCAUUAUCGAAGGGGCACAGAGGUCCACGUGCAACCCUAAAAUAGACGGGUACAAAGUAACAGCCACAGGAGACAGAGGGAAAGCUCUCGUCCAGCAGACACUGAAGAGGCACAUGAAAGGGCUCAUAGGGGAUGUUAAUGGAGCACCUACGGAUGUCCAUAUGGACUCGUGUAUUCUCCCUGUUGAGUUUAGCAUCACCUCCUGGCCGUUGGUUUAAGGUAUAUAUUGCACCUUGAAGUUUGGCACCCCCAUCAUUGUGGGUUGUUACCUCCAAGCUGGUGGUUCAGCUGCACCUGCAGUAAGCCUUUCUACCACUCUGGUAGUGGUCGGCAUCUUCUGGAAGGGAUCUGGAUCUCUGGCCUUUUCUCCAUUUUUGUCUGCAACCCAAGACUAUUCCAGUGAUUUCCUUUACUUACUAAGUUAUUCAGAAUCAGUUUCUGGUUUGGCACCAAGAAGCAGGACUAAUAUACACUCCUUCAUGAGGAAAAACAAAGCAUCUGACAAGGAUAAAUCGUGCUUACAGAUAUAAAGGUGACAUCCCAUUGGAUUAUGUGUAUCUCUGAAGGCUUUGCCUGUCUCCACAGUCAAGGCUUUGUGGAUUGGAGAGCACAAGAUAUGUAAGUGAAGGAUAAAUGUUGGGGCAAGAACUCCAAAUAAAGUCAAGAUUAAAGCGUGACUUCCUCUGAGUACAUGGAUGAUGAGACAAGAAGAAACCAGAGAGGGAGACAACCCAUAAGAGACUCUU